UCUGUGUUCAAGCUGGCACCAGUCUCCUUCUACUUCUCAAAACUUUCUCCGUCUCUUCUCUGUUUCUGUGUUGAUCGAUCCUUAAACCCUAACCCUAAUUCCACUGCACUGUAAGUUAAACAGAGGCGUCAGGCGUCAGCUCAUCGCACCGCCACCGGAAACAAACUCAGUGUCCUGAGCUUGCAUCGUUAAAUUCAUGUUCUAACGCAUACGGCCGCGAAACACACACCAAAACGGAAAAAGAAAGAGAAAGAAAAAGGCUGAAACAUGGUUCCUUUCUUGCCUUUGGUUUCAUUUAUUAUUCUCUAUAUCGGAAUCUUAAUCCCAGGUGUCAAUCCACGAGAGCAGGAUUCAUCGGUCUACGAUGUUCUUAAGGACCAUGGGCUGCCCAUGGGCCUACUCCCUAAGGGCAUUGAAGAUUUCAGAAUCGAUGAUACGGGCCAUUUCGUGGUCCACUUAGAUCAGGCUUGCAAUGCCAAGUUCGAGAGCGAAUUGCAUUAUGAUAGGAAUGUAUCAGGGACUUUGAGCUAUGGCCAGAUCGGGGCUUUGUCUGGAAUUUCUGCUCAAGAGUUGUUUUUGUGGUUUCCGGUCAAGGGUAUUCGGGUUGAUGUUCCUAGUUCUGGUCUUAUUUAUUUCGAUGUUGGUGUUGUUUCUAAGCAGUUCUCUCUUUCUUUGUUCGAGACGCCGAGGGAAUGUGUGGCUGUUCGAGAUGGGCUAGAGGAGGCGAUUGAGUCUGGAAGACGUAUUGCUGACGUUGUGUCCAAGAGUCAACUUGGGGAGUUAAGAUAUCAACUCGAUCAAGAGAAUUUCGGGAGGGGUGUCCUGUAAAGUGCAAUGGAGAAAGUCAUUUAAGGCGUUUCACAGCUCAAUCAACUCCAACGGGUUCUUAUUUUCACCUUGUAAAAUUCAUCAGAGAUUCUGCUUUUGCAGGUCCAAUGCUUCUAUUCAGUGUGUUUGCUUUUGUUCUUUUUUCCCCAUAGAGUGCAGAAUAUGGAACCAACUUAGCAAAGCCGGCUCUUGUCUAUGCAUGGAUGCCCUAUGCCUUGAGAGGAAAAAUUAAAAAAGGCAACAGCAUAAUCACCAAAGGCUAGCAUUUGGCUGAGGUGAUUCAGGUGUAAUCCUCAAGAAUGUCAGAGAAUUUGAGCAGAGGAAUUGAGUUAGUCAUAUUUGUUGAAGUAGAUUUCUGCAGUGAGAUUUAACUGUCUUUUCUCCUAGACUCCUUUUUUUUUUUCUUUAUGUUUUUCCUCCUGGUAGAAGGGGUGGGGUCACAGGAUUGGGGGGGGGGGGGGGGUGUGAUUAGACGGGAUGGUUGAUCAUUUACAUUAGGAUUUUGGAUUUGAUUCAGGAAUUGCUGAAUUCAUGAUAGGCAAUCGAACUAAAUUGUGCCUUGGAGCCUGGUGAGAAAUUUUUUGAAGUUGAGUUUCAGGUGCAACUUUCAAACUUUGCCCUCCACGAAUCAUGAUCUUAAUUUUAUUUUCCCGGUCCUUGAUUUUUUUCUUUUCCUUUCUUUGUUUUGUUUUCUUUCUAUUUAGCAUGAUAAGGCUUUUCUAUUAAACUUAGUCCACCUUUCCCUGAUUACAGAAAAUAGAGCUACCUCCCUAAUUCACCUGAUUAAUUAUUACUUAUUGCUAGUGAGUUGUUAGCUUUAGGGUUUUAUUGCAGGAUGUUAAUAUCCCAGGCACCACAUGCUUUAGCCGCUGAACUGCUAUGCUUAUGUCCAACUCUCCUUGACAUGAAAAUUGUGUAGUCUCUGUAUUGAAAAAAAUAAUUGAACCUCUAGUUUCAAGCAGCCAGAUUAGGGUCUCAACUCCUACUCUCAAGUGGCUUGGUCCCAACAGUUAUUUGGCUACAUUAGAGCAGGCAUUGAGCGUAAGUGCAUGGGAAGUGGUAGUAUAGCUCUGUUUUGGUAUGUGCCAUGCAAAAUAACGUUUCAAGUGAAUAUGCAGCCCUUUGGAUUUGCAUCAUGAUAUCAAGAAUUAAGAAAUUUCCAGUUGAGGUGGUCAGUAUAAGCCAGCUUGCAUGUAUUUCUCCGUUUAACCUUGUAGUUGGAGUUUUUCAAUCAUAAACAUUUAAAUAUAACAAAUCUGAGGUGAACGAAAAAAAAAAAAAAAGGUAGUUGGGCCACAUGGAUAAGGUCUGGAUCUUGUCUUUCUGCUUUUAUUUCCUGCCAUAUUGGUCUGGAAUGGUCUUCAAACACUAUUUAGCGGUAUUUUCGAACAGCUAUCCAA